GCCGCCUGUGAGCCGCGUUGUCGCGAUGGCGGAAGACAUAGAGCAAGUCUUCACGGCGGAAGAAUGGCAGUCCUUCCCGGAGAUCGAGAAGAAGCGCUUCGAGAAUAUUCUCAGAAAAUACAAAAUGAUGGAAGAGUUGGAUCCGAAGUGUUGGCACAAGGAAUACAUGUAUUGAUGCUGUGGACUGCGCAAUUAGCAACUCGAUGCGUUACGUGAACUGUUCAAGGACAGAAGCUGAGACCAACCUAUCCGCAUUUCAGUUCAAGGGGCAAAUCUACUACAGGACAGAUUCUACAAUUAGCAGGGGAAGCGAGCUUAUGUGCUGGUACGGAGACGGUUACGGGCUGAUCUAGGC
rnacentral:lncRNA from 1 species